rnacentral:rRNA from 1 species
GACGAACGCUGGCGGCGUGCCUAAUACAUGCAAGUCGAACGCUUCGUUCCUCACGAUUGCUUGCACUCGAUUGGAAAGAGGAGUGGCGGACGGGUGAGUAACACGUGGGUAACCUACCCAUCAGCGGGGGAUAACACUUGGUAACAGGUGCUAAUAUCGUAUAAAACUUUAUGAAGUAUGGAAUAAGAGUGAAAGGGGUAGUUGGGUGGGGUUGAUGGAUGGAUCCGCGGUGCAUUAGCUAGUUGGUGAGGUAACGGCUCACCAAGGCAACGAUGCAUAGCCGACCUGAGAGGGUGAUCGGCCACACUGGGACUGAGGCACGGCCCAGACUCCUACGGGAGGCAGCAGUAGUGAAUCUUCCACACUUGCCAAAACUCUUACCCAACAACACCACGUUAGUUAAGAAGGUUUUCGGAUCGUAAAACUCUGUUGUUAGGGAAGAACAAGGACAUUAAUAACUAAGCUUCCCCUAACUUUCUCUCAUCAGAAAUCCACGGCUAACUACCUG